ACAUCUCAGUUCAGAUUGCAGGCUGCAACUCGCCUGCAUGAAGUCGGAAUUGCUAGUAAUCGUAGGUCAGCAUACUACGGUGAAUACGUUCCCGGGCCUUGUACACACCGCCCGUCAAACCAUGAGAGUUGGCAACACCCGAAGUCGGUAGUCUAACCGCAAGGAGGACGCCGCCGAAGGUGGGGUUGAUGAUUAGGGUUAAGUCGUAACAAGGUAGC
rnacentral:rRNA from 1 species